CGGGACACGUGGUAUCCUGUCUGAAUAUGGGGGGACCAUCCUCCAAGGCUAAAUACUCCUGACUGACCGAUAGUGAACCAGUACCGUGAGGGAAAGGCGAAAAGAACCCCGGCGAGGGGAGUGAAAAAGAACCUGAAACCGUGUACGUACAAGCAGUGGGAGCACGCUUAGGCGUGUGACUGCGUACCUUUUGUAUAAUGGGUCAGCGACUUAUAUUCUGUAGCAAGGUUAACCGAAUAGGGGAGCCGAAGGGAAACCGAGUCUUAACUGGGCGUUAAGUUGCAGGGUAUAGACCCGAAACCCGGUGAUCUAGCCAUGGGCAGGUUGAAGGUUGGGUAACACUAACUGGAGGACCGAACCGACUAAUGUUGAAAAAUUAGCGGAUGACUUGUGGCUGGGGGUGAAAGGCCAAUCAAACCGGGAGAUAGCUGGUUCUCCCCGAAAGCUAUUUAGGUAGCGCCUCGUGAAUUCAUCUCCGGGGGUAGAGCACUGUUUCGGCAAGGGGGUCAUCCCGACUUACCAACCCGAUGCAAACUGCGAAUACCGGAGAAUGUUAUCACGGGAGACACACGGCGGGUGCUAACGUCCGUCGUGAAGAGGGAAACAACCCAGACCGCCAGCUAAGGUCCCAAAGUCAUGGUUAAGUGGGAAACGAUGUGGGAAGGCCCAGACAGCCAGGAUGUUGGCUUAGAAGCAGCCAUCAUUUAAAGAAAGCGUAAUAGCUCACUGGUCGAGUCGGCCUGCGCGGAAGAUGUAACGGGGCUAAACCAUGCACCGAAGCUGCGGCAGCGACGCUGAUGCGUUGUUGGGUAGGGGAGCGUUCUGUAAGCCUGUGAAGGUGUGCUGUGAGGCAUGCUGGAGGUAUCAGAAGUGCGAAUGCUGACAUAAGUAACGAUAAAGCGGGUGAAAAGCCCGCUCGCCGGAAGACCAAGGGUUCCUGUCCAACGUUAAUCGGGGCAGGGUGAGUCGACCCCUAAGGCGAGGCCGAAAGGCGUAGUCGAUGGGAAACAGGUUAAUAUUCCUGUACUUGGUGUUACUGCGAAGGGGGGACGGAGAAGGCUAUGUUGGCCGGGCGACGGUUGUCCCGGUUUAAGCGUGUAGGCUGGUUUUCCAGGCAAAUCCGGAAAAUCAAGGCUGAGGCGUGAUGACGAGGCACUACGGUGCUGAAGCAACAAAUGCCCUGCUUCCAGGAAAAGCCUCUAAGCAUCAGGUAACAUCAAAUCGUACCCCAAACCGACACAGGUGGUCAGGUAGAGAAUACCAAGGCGCUUGAGAGAACUCGGGUGAAGGAACUAGGCAAAAUGGUGCCGUAACUUCGGGAGAAGGCACGCUGAUAUGUAGGUGAAGCGACUUGCUCGUGGAGCUGAAAUCAGUCGAAGAUACCAGCUGGCUGCAACUGUUUAUUAAAAACACAGCACUGUGCAAACACGAAAGUGGACGUAUACGGUGUGACGCCUGCCCGGUGCCGGAAGGUUAAUUGAUGGGGUCAGCGCAAGCGAAGCUCUUGAUCGAAGCCCCGGUAAACGGCGGCCGUAACUAUAACGGUCCUAAGGUAGCGAAAUUCCUUGUCGGGUAAGUUCCGACCUGCACGAAUGGCGUAAUGAUGGCCAGGCUGUCUCCACCCGAGACUCAGUGAAAUUGAACUCGCUGUGAAGAUGCAGUGUACCCGCGGCAAGACGGAAAGACCCCGUGAACCUUUACUAUAGCUUGACACUGAACAUUGAGCCUUGAUGUGUAGGAUAGGUGGGAGGCUUUGAAGUGUGGACGCCAGUCUGCAUGGAGCCGGCCUUGAAAUACCACCCUUUAAUGUUUGAUGUUCUAACGUUGACCCGUGAUCCGGGUUGCGGACAGUGUCUGGUGGGUAGUUUGACUGGGGCGGUCUCCUCCUAAAGAGUAACGGAGGAGCACGAAGGUUGGCUAAUCCUGGUCGGACAUCAGGAGGUUAGUGCAAUGGCAUAAGCCAGCUUGACUGCGAGCGUGACGGCGCGAGCAGGUGCGAAAGCAGGUCAUAGUGAUCCGGUGGU
rnacentral:rRNA from 1 species